rnacentral:rRNA from 1 species
GAUGAACGCUGGCGGCGUGCCUAAUACAUGCAAGUCGAGCGAACAGGCGAGGAGCUUGCUCCUCUGACGUUAGCGGCGGACGGGUGAGUAACACGUGGAUAACCUACCUAUAAGACUGGGAUAACUUCGGGAAACCGGAGCUAAUACCGGAUAAUAUAUUGAACCGCAUGGUUCAAUAGUGAAAGACGGUUUUGCUGUCACUUAUAGAUGGAUCCGCGCCGCAUUAGCUAGUUGGUAAGGUAACGGCUUACCAAGGCAACGAUGCGUAGCCGACCUGAGAGGGUGAUCGGCCACACUGGAACUGAGACACGGUCCAGACUCCUACGGGAGGCAGCAGUAGGGAAUCUUCCGCAAUGGGCGAAAGCCUGACGGAGCAACGCCGCGUGAGUGAUGAAGGUCUUCGGAUCGUAAAACUCUGUUAUUAGGGAAGAACAAAUGUGUAAGUAACUAUGCACGUCUUGACGGUACCGAAUCAGAAAGCCACGGCUAACUACGU